CAUAGGUUAAUGAGGCGAACCGGGGGAACUGAAACAUCUAAGUACCCCGAGGAAAAGAAAUCAACCGAGAUUCCCCCAGUAGCGGCGAGCGAACGGGGAGGAGCCCAGAGCCUGAAUCAGCAUGUGUGUUAGUGGAAGCGUCUGGAAAGGCGCGCGAUACAGGGUGACAGCCCCGUACACAAAAGCGCAUGUGCUGUGAGCUCGAUGAGUAGGGCGGGACACGUGGUAUCCUGUCUGAAUAUGGGGGGACCAUCCUCCAAGGCUAAAUACUCCUGACUGACCGAUAGUGAACCAGUACCGUGAGGGAAAGGCGAAAAGAACCCCGGCGAGGGGAGUGAAAAAGAACCUGAAACCGUGUACGUACAAGCAGUGGGAGCCCCACCACUAAGCCAGUGGUGAACUCCACAUACGCAUCCUUUGCUGAGGAUACGGUUAACGGAGCGAAAGCGAC
rnacentral:rRNA from 1 species